rnacentral:rRNA from 1 species
UACGUAGGGUGCGAGCGUUAAUAGGAUUUACUGGGCGUAAAGAGCUCGUAGGCGGUAGUUCAAGUCAGGUGUGAAAUCCGACGGCUUAACCGGAGGGCUGCACCUGAUACUGGGCUGCUAGAGGUAAGGAGAGGAAGGUGGAAUUCCCGGUGUAGCGGUGAAAUGCGUAGAGAUCAGGAGGAACACCGAUGGCGAAGGCAGCCCCCUGGGCCUGUACUGACGCUCAUGCACGAAAGCGUGGGGAGCAAACAGG